AUGCUGCAACACCUGGAUCUUAAGGAUGACGAGUUAGAUGAUGUGACAGUGAGGAAGGAGGAAUCAAGGAACUAUGAAGCAGAUGCCCGAUGGUUGGCGAUCGGGAAGGUAAACACGACCCGGAUCUUCAGCGCAUCAUCGAUGUUUGAGACCAUGAAAUCAAUCUGGGGUUUAGCACAUGUUCCCAAGUACAGGGAGGCCGGCGAAAGUCUGUACAUCUUCCAGAUGUUCUGCCUGGGAGAUUGGAAGAGAGUUGCUCAUGGAGGGCCAUGGCUGUUCAGGGGGAUGGGCAUGCUAAUUGAAGAUUACGACGGCAAGCAAGACCCAGCAUCUGUUGUCUUUGAUGGUCUGUAUGUCUGGGCGCAGAUCCACAACAUACCAGAGCUCUAUCGUAAAUCUGAGGUAGUUGAUCAGCUCGCUCGUCGGAUCGGUCGGGUCAAGGAGACACAACUUUCACCGAGGCUUUUCUAUGAAGGUGACUAUGUUAGGAUCCGUGCUAGGGUUCUGGUGAAUAAACCCCUCACAAGAGUGACCCCGCUGAACGUUGUGGGAGAGGGUAGGAAAUUCCUCCCUGUUAAGUAUGAGAAGAUACCAUAUUUUUGCCAAGUUUGUGGGCUGAUGGGUCAUAAUCACGAGGAGUGCGGUGAUGGAGUCUGGGAAGAGAAAGACAAGCAAUGGGGAAGCUGGAUGUUGACGAGAGAAUGCACAGGAGCAGCCAGGAGGAGACAGGACUUCCCGAGGAGGCCGGUUUGGAGGACGUGGCAGAGGCAGGGCAGGCAGAGGCGCCCCACCGCCCCGCCAAGCUUCACCAGUUCGCAAGCGAUCAUCCCAGGAGGCGGGGCUGGAUACAGACACUGA
rnacentral:rRNA from 1 species